rnacentral:rRNA from 1 species
CCGCUUGCAGGUAAACAGAUGGACCCACGAAGUCCAGUUGAGCAAGAGAUUCAUAUUCUUCAAUAGACAAGGUGAACAGAGAAGUCCCAAGUGGAGUGAUCUGUACACUGCUCAUUGUCGAUUGAAGGAUGCAUUUCUCUUGCUCACGAUGGAGCUCUGACUGCUCUAACUGACUUGACCGCUUAUGGCCGCCUUUGUCUGUGGUUGAUUCCUUCGGUUUCAAAUCACUUUCAAAGGUGAAGUGAGUCAAGUCGAAUUGAGCAGUUGAAAUACUUACUUCACGUAAGUUUUCAGGUUGUCGAUAUUCACUUGAUGCAGUCAAAGAUGAUAACAGCGACGCUCUUUCGACUCUCGCAGUUGAAGACGUUCUGUUAAUAUACUCAUCUUUAUGCGCUGUAACAAGUAGUAUCAUGACGAUAAUCCAGAGUAAGUAGGUCGGUCAUCCAUCUGACCCGUCUUGAAACACGGACCAAGGAGUCCAACAUUUACGCGAGUCGCUCGGUCUUGCAUAGGCCUGAGAGGCGAAAUAAACAUAACGGUAUGAUCCUAUACUCACCUUUCGAGGUAGUUGGGCGCAAUACCAACCUGCUUAUUCUGCCUUUUGACAGAUAAGUGGAGUUUGAGCGUAAAUGUUGGUACCCGAAAGAUGGUGAACUAUACUUGGGCAAGACGAAGCCAGAGGAAACUCUGGUGGAGGUCUGUAGCGAUUCUGACGUGCAAAUCGAUCGUCAGACCUGAGUAUAGGGGCGAAAGACUAAUCGAACCAUCUAGUAGCUGGUUCCUUCCGAAGUUUCCCUCAGGAUAGCUGGCACUAAACUACUCUGUAGCAUCCGGUAAAGCGAAUGAUUAGAGGUAUUGGGAUCGAAACGAUCUCAACCUAUUCUCAUACUUUAAAUGGGUGCGAGAACAUGACUUGUUUGCUCUAAAGUCAUGCUUCGUAAGAGUAGUGCCAAGUGGGCCAUUUUUGGUAAGCAGAACUGGCGCUGUGGGAUGAACCAAACGUCGAGUUAAGGCACCAAAUGCUGACGCUCAUGAGACCCCAUGAAAGGUGUUGGUUGCUAUAGACAGU